UAGGGAAUCUUCCACAAUGGGCGCAAGCCUGAUGGAGCAACGCCGCGUGAGUGAAGAAGGUCUUCGGAUCGUAAAACUCUGUUGUUAGAGAAGAACAUGCAGGAGAGUAACUGUUCAUUCGAUGACGGUAUCUAACCAGCAAGUCACGGCUAACUACGUGCCAG
rnacentral:rRNA from 1 species